AUUGAACGCUGGCGGCAGGCCUAACACAUGCAAGUCGAGCGGAUGAAGGGAGCUUGCUCCUGGAUUCAGCGGCGGACGGGUGAGUAAUGCCUAGGAAUCUGCCUGGUAGUGGGGGAUAACGUCCGGAAACGGGCGCUAAUACCGCAUACGUCCUGAGGGAGAAAGUGGGGGAUCUUCGGACCUCACGCUAUCAGAUGAGCCUAGGUCGGAUUAGCUAGUUGGUGGGGUAAAGGCCUACCAAGGCGACGAUCCGUAAAUGGUCUGAGAGGAUGAUCAGUCACCAUGGAACUGGAACAGGGACAUGGGGACUAAGGGAGGGAGCAGACGGGAAUAGUUGGCAACGGGGGGAAAUCUUGUACAGUCAGCGCGAGGGUGGUGAAGAAGUGCUCGGAGUGGGAAGCAGUUUUAGGUGGGGGGAAGGGCAGUAAGCUGAUACCUUGCGUGUUUGACGGUAACAAGAAAAUAAGCACCGGCUAACUUCGUG
rnacentral:rRNA from 1 species